AUUGAACGCUGGCGGCAGGCUUAACACAUGCAAGUCGAGCGGGGAAGAGUAGCUUGCUACUUAACCUAGCGGCGGACGGGUGAGUAAUGCUUAGGAAUCUGCCUAUUAGUGGGGGACAACAUCUCGAAAGGGAUGCUAAUACCGCAUACGUCCUACGGGAGAAAGCAGGGGACCUUCGGGCCUUGCGCUAAUAGAUGAGCCUAAGUCGGAUUAGCUAGUUGGUGGGGUAAAGGCCUACCGAGGCGACGAUCUGUAGCGGGUCUGAGAGGAUGAUCCGCAACACUGGGACUGAGACACGGCCCAGACUCCUACGGGAGGCAGCAGUGGGGAAUAUUGGACAAUGGGGGGAACCCUGAUCCAGCCAUGCCGCGUGUGUGAAGAAGGCCUUUUGGUUGUAAAGCACUUUAAGCGAGGAGGAGGCUACCGAGAUUAAUACUCUUGGAUAGUGGACGUUACUCGCAGAAUAAGCACCGGCUAACUCUGUGCCAGCCGCCGCAGUAACAC
rnacentral:rRNA from 1 species